AGUGAACGCUGGCGGUAGGCCUAACACAUGCAAGUCGAACGGCAGCACAGUAAGAGCUUGCUCUUACGGGUGGCGAGUGGCGGACGGGUGAGGAAUACAUCGGAAUCUACUUUUUCGUGGGGGAUCACGUAGGGAAACUUACGCUAAUACCGCAUACGACCUACGGGUGAAAGCAGGGGAUCUUCGGACCUUGCGCGAUUGAAUGAGCCGAUGUCGGAUUAGCUAGUUGGCGGGGUAAAGGCCCACCAAGGCGACGAUCCGUAGCUGGUCUGAGAGGAUGAUCAGCGACACGAGAACUGGGACACGGUCCAGACUCCUACGGGAGGCAGCAGUGGGGAAUAUUGGACAAUGGGCGCAAGCCUGGUCCAGCCAUACCGCGUGGGUGAAGAAGGCCUUCGGGUUGUAAAGCCCUUUUGUUGGGAAAGAAAAGCAGCAGGUUAAUACCCCGCUGUUCUGACGGUACCCAAAGAAUAAGCACCGGCUAACUUCGUG
rnacentral:rRNA from 1 species